rnacentral:lncRNA from 1 species
GUUUUGAACAAUACCAUUUUAAAACUUAAAAAUAGUCCAUUCAUACACUAGAGUUCGAACAAUGUUAAAGCACUCAAUACCCUGAAAGUAUACAAGAAAUCUGAGCAACGAAAUCACCCUAAGCUAUUAGCAUGCACUAGCAUUCAAUACAAACCAGAAGCAGAACUCCAUAAAAACUGAGGCAUCUAUUCAUGCAUAAUGAAAGAAUUUAACAACAACUAUAUCAAAACUUUGAAGCAUUUAGUCGAAUGUCAACUUGGGUUUCCAAAGCUUCAUACAAGCCAAUCAAUGUUCAAUUCCAUGUCGGGUUUGAGUGGUGUACCUGGAAAUUAUAGAAGGGAAAAAUGAUUAUAAUAAGCAAGUUGUAGCAGCAGUGACCUCAAACUAGCACACAAAUUCCAGACUUCAAUCAAGAAUUAAUUCAAGCCAUUUCUCACGUUUACUGAACUUAAGAUUCUUUGACAAAUUGGAAUAAAAAAUGAGAAAAAAAACUGGAAAGCCAAUAGAACAGUGUUUUCUACAAUUGUUUAACCGCCUAGACUUUCUCAACUUUCCAACCCCUGUUCAAAGGCAAGAAUGAUAUGCCUUUAUAGGCCAGGCCAUAGGGCAAACUUCAGAAUCACAUAUUUCCUUUCUACCCCCUUUAAAAUUCUUGUUUUAGCUUAGGGAUCCCUAAAUUUAUGACUUGUUACCCAAGUUAAAACCCAUUAAAAGGUCUGAAAUAUCCCUGAACCCCUCCCUAAAAGCUUCUAUUUCUGUUAUCAAAAGAUUCCCCCAGUAAACUACCUAAAAUGCCCUCCUCGCCCCUGAAAAUUACCUUGAACCCCAACUGAGACAUGGGUAAAAUUAACCCACGGCUGAAUUUAACCCAGAACCCAAACCAAUUUGGAUGGGCUGCUCUUUGCCAAAUGGACCAAAGACAAACCAAAGCCCAGACGAACACUUAUCUAUUUGAAAAGAAAAAUCUGCAAGCCAUGAUAACAUGAAAUGAUUUCAAAGCAAAUCUACUAACUUACUAAUCAAUUAAUGAUGACUAGGCAAGGAUUUAACUUAGUUGAAGUAACUUAAUUUUAAAAUAACUUGGAUGGCUAAACAGAAAACAAGAUCGGGGAGUUAUCCAUGCUAUUAACACAACGGACUAAAGAAAUCAGAAAACAAACUUUCACGAAGAAGAGAAGGACAAUGACCGAAAGACCAAUCUAAACUCGAGAGAUUAGUAGAGUUUCAGCCAGACUAGUAUAAGAAGAUUAAGCUAAAGAAAAGGGAAAGAAGAAGAGAAUAAGACAAUCAAAAAGGAAGAGAAGACAAGAGAAGAAAAGAGCUUACCGAUUUAGACUCGAAAUCCAUCGAAGACAAAAGCCCUAACAAAGCUAAGGUCGAUCGUUUGAAUCCGAACUUCAAAACUCGAAGAACGGUGCCUUCUGACCAUGCAUGUACCAGGAUUGACGAAAAAGUGGUUUUGAACUUUUGGGGUUGACCUCAGAUUCAAGAUUCGCGGAGCUCCAAGCAGAUUCGAAGGAGAGUAGUUGUGGAUUUGGUAUGAGGGGAUCCUGGGGGUUGUGGGGUGUUAGUUUGGGGUUGAACGGAGGCGGCGCCGCCACCGGACGAUGGUGGAAAAGUGGGCGGCUCCGUUAGGGUUAGGCUUGGGUUCUUUGAUAGGGGUGUUGGAACGAUG